rnacentral:pre_miRNA from 1 species
CCAUUCGAAGUGAGGAUUAGAGGGAACUGAACCAUCCAUUCAAAGAAAAGGUGAAAGGUUCAGUUUCCUCUAAUAUCUCAUCUCAAAUGG